UCAAGGAUUUCAGUUCCUUUGCC
rnacentral:piRNA from 1 species